GCGGGCAGCCGGCGCCGCCGCCGGCCUGGGCGCUCGGCUUUGCCCUGCCCUCCUCUCUUCUCUUCCUUGUUCUCCGCUCCGCUCCCGGCAGCUGUCCCACGCGCCAACGUAAACAAAUCCGUUCGAGCUUCUCCCGGCGUUUAUUUGUCAUUCUUGGACAGCGCAGCCGUGCUACAGCCGCGUCCGUCCGGGCUCUGCAAGGGAAGCCUUUGCAAAGAGUUUCGCUUUUCCGCGCUAAGGGGGCUUAAAACCUCGAGAAGAUGUGCGGAGGGAGGGCUAACCUGGGUUACUGUGUCCUCAAACGACUGUGCUGGGCGCUUCCAGCACGGCAAAGCAAAGCCUGAGAGCAGCCCAAGCUCCACUCCCCGCCGGCGAGCGCCCGAGCCCUCUUUUCCUAACGCUUCGUCCCCUCAACUCUGCUCUUUCAGCCCCAAAAGCUUUGCCAGCGGCUCGCCAGCUCCCACGGCUCGCCGACACUACGUGCCCGCGACACCACAUGCCAGAGCCCAGCGCGGAAACGGGUGGGCUCCGGGGGAGCGUGUGAGGAGCUCUCCGGAGCCGCAGAGCUGUUCUUCGGCAGCUCCUCCCGGGGACUUCAGGGCACGUCCCGGGCGGGAACGGCCUCCCCUCCCCGCAGCGUGCCGGCGGGCGCGCCGCAGAGCCGCGUCCGCCCCUCGGUUUGCACCCGGGGUUCGUACGGCCGCUUCCCAGCCCCGAGUCGCCGCUGCAAACAUCUGGUAGGAAACCAGCGCCGCUUUCUGCCCCGCGUUCCUCCCCCUGCCUCAACCCCCAGUCCUGCUGCCGCCGGGAGUCACAAACCCGGGGCUCCGC